rnacentral:rRNA from 1 species
GACGAACGCUGGCGGCGUGCUUAACACAUGCAAGUCGAACGGAAAGGCCCUGCUUGCAGGGUGCUCGAGUGGCGAACGGGUGAGUAACACGUGGGUGAUCUGCCCCUUACUUUGGGAUAAGCCUGGGAAACUGGGUCUAAUACUGGAUAGGACCAUGCUGUAGGUGGUGUGGUGGAAAGAUUAGUUUCGGUAAGGGAUGAGCUCGCGGCCUAUCAGCUUGUUGGUGGGGUAAUGGCCUACCAAGGCGUCGACGGGUAGCCGGCCUGAGAGGGUGGACGGCGACCUUGUGACUGAGAUACGGCGCAGACUCCUACGGGAGGCAGCAGUGGGGAAUAUUGCACAAUGGGCGCAAGCCUGAUGCAGCGACGCCGCGUGGGGGAUGACGGCCUUCGGGUUGUAGACUCCUUUCAGCCAUGACGAAGCCCUUGUGGUGACGGUAGUGGUAGAAGAAGCACCGGCUAACUACGUG